CAAUAGCGUAUAUUUAAGUUGCUGCAGUUAAAAAGCUCGUAGUUGGAUUUCGGGUGGGAAUGGCCGGUCCGCCGUUUCGGUGUGCACUUGCUACGCCCACCUUGCUGCCGGGGACGUGCUCUUGAGUUCACGCUCGGGACACGGAGUCGGCGAGGUUACUUUGAGUAAAUUAGAGUGUUCAAAGCAGGCCUACGCUCUGAAUACAUUAGCAUGGAAUAACACGAUAGGACUCUGGCCUAUCUUGUUGGCCUGUAGGACCGGAGUAAUGAUUAAGAGGGACAGUCGGGGGCAUUCGUAUUUCAUUGUCAGAGGUGAAAUUCUUGGAUUUAUGAAAGACGAACUACUGCGAAAGCAUUUGCCAAGGAUGUUUUCAUUAA
rnacentral:rRNA from 1 species